rnacentral:lncRNA from 1 species
GGGGGGGGAAUAAACACAUUGAGCCAGAUAUUCACAUCUUAAAUCAAGUUAAUUUAAUCAGAAUCCUUCUUCCCUACCAAAUAGAUGAUCUCUAUUAUGAAAGAAAUGGGAGAUUGGGUCCAGCCAUUGGCAGAGAGAUUAAUUUCGGAAUGUAGGGGCACUGCUUAAGCGUGGGGAGGACUACAGGAAGCUGUCCCUAGGCCCUCUUUUCAAAUGCCAAAACUCAUGAGAAAGGAUAACCAACACAGUUUAACAUUGGUCUCUCUGAUCUGCUUUGAUCCUAGCAGCAACGAAGAGGGCCUUGGGUAAAGAUUGCAAGGUGGAGAGGAAAGAUGGUACUUUUGUGCCUGGUCCCUACACCCAACCUAUGGACUUCAUGUGAUUAAUGCUUGUAAUGGGCUGUUGACUUGAAAUUAGGGAAAGGCAGAAAGAGGAAGGCAAGGAUUGUUUGUCCUUAAUCCCUCCCUUUCCUCAGUGACAAUUUCAGUUCCAGCAGAAUGGCCCUGGAACUCUUUAGAACUUAAGAAUAUGGGUUCAUCCAGUGGGACAGAGCCUUGGUACUCCUUAAUAGUACAAGGGUACCUCACAGCUGUGUUUGAAACACAGAGAAAAGCUCCACCAUAUAUAGGACCUUCCAGGUGCCAUGGCCGACCAGUAUGAGGACAAUUAAUAGGUGGAGAGGACUUUAUGGUUAUUCUAAAAUCACACCACAAAGGUGAGCACCUGCCUCUCAUUUUGUCUCUGGUGACUCUCCAACCUGUAUAUUCUUCCUUUCAUAUGCUAAUCUGCCUGUCAACACACAGGAACCCAAAUUUGAGCCCACGUUGAAUGAGUUUACAAUUUAUGUCAGGGCAAAGGACUCCUCUCCCACUGCUUCAGAUGUUCCGACUCCUGAUGUUAGUGGAAUGAAAAGCUGGUGAGGCUGUAGACAAUGAAGGAAAGGGAAGGGAGGAGCAGGAGAAGAAAAAAAAAAGGAAGUAGGAGAAAGAAAGCUAAUUGUGGGCUAAGGAACUGUUGGUUCUAACACACACACACACACACACACACACACACACACACACAUACACUCACAAAGCCAUAAAAGAAGGAAACACAAUCAAACCAUCUCUACUUCCUAAAGGAGGAUGAAAUCGAAGACAAAGAAUAUAGAGUAUUCGUGGAAAUGGGAAAGUCAUGCUUAAGGUGGCCUUCACAGCUUAGUUUGAGAUCAUGAACUACAGAAAGCACAGUGCUAUACAUUCAUUCAUGCAGACAUGACAUAUCUCCUUCAUACACACAGACUCUUCCUCAAUAUAUGCAUAGAUAUAGCUGCAUACCAAGACUUCUGCACUCACACAGAUGCAGAGAGAGACACAUACCACCAAACACCAAAAUAUACAUCUAUAUACCCAGCUAAGUACAUGGAUACAGAGUCAAAUAUGGACAUCUGGAGAAUCUAAACAUAGAGGUACACACAAGAAUACAUAACUACACGUAAGAUAUCUAUGUAAAAUAUAGUAGCUACCAUUUAUCAGUAGUCUACUGUAUCCCCAGAACUUUACAUAUGUUGGCUCAUUAAUCCUCACAAACACUCCUCGGAGAGGAGUGUUAUUAAUCCAUUUUACAAUUGGGGGAAUUGCUAUUUAGAGGAGAUGAUAACUUGCCAAGAGUCAUGCAGGUGGUGUGGCUUAUAGUAGAGCAGGAACUCAAACUGAAAAGCUGCAGCCUCUCAUGACAGCUCAGAGAGGACCCCAGACAGACACGCAUCCAUUUACAGGUACUCAUACUCCCUGACCAAGAAUUUUAAAACGUGAUUAGCAUAGUUCAGGGUCUGUUAUCAUCUUAAUCAUUUGUUUGAACUAAACAGUGUGGAAUUCCUUUGGGUCAUUAGUACCCAUCAGUAAAUUUUCAUGUGUUUAAAUCACCUCUGGAGUAUUUAAAUUUAAACACUCUAGUAUCCUGGAGCAGGGCCAACCAAUAUUUUUAAAUAAUAACACUAUAAUUAAAGCUUAGGGUAAGCUUAGGAUCUCAUUCAAAUUAACAAAAGAUUACUCUUCACAGCAGAAUUAAAAACAAGAUUCUAAUUAAUUAAUGUGCUAAUUGUUUUUCCUUUUUGCAAUCAGCACAGCAAUUUCAUCUAAGAUACUAUAAAACAUGGACACAAAACCCCCAGCUGAUGCCUUGGCUGGAUGCAUGGCCCAGGGAGCUGUCUCUGCUCUUUGUGUUAUCCCGGGCAACUGCAGGUACUCUGUGAUGGCCAACAUGGACUGAGAAUAGGCCCUCAACUAUGAAUCCACAUCAUCAAGUUUGGGAGAGGUUUAGCUGUAGGAUAGGGAAACCAGCUUUUCUGGUUUGCCCAAGACAUUCCUGUUGACUUGAUUCAGCAGAGUACUCGAAAGUGUAUCUUGAUUUGGAUGAUAACUUAUGUAGGGACCCUACCUCAGAUCAUUCAUGGAGCCAUGAAUCUUUCUAGCAGGGAAGGAGAUAAGGAAGAGGUGUAGAGUAUUGACAAUCUCCUUGAGCCUCCUACCAGCAUUGGUGUUUGAGCCACAGUGUGGAUUUCCUUGUCACUGCCCCCUACUUUGUGCAAUACUAACCACAUACAAUCCCAGUUACUAGGAGCUCCCCUCUCCCCUCAACACAGCCCAAGAUAUAAUGUGUCCUGAGAACUAGAGCCCUUUCUUUUUUCAUGGUACAUACCCAAGGGAGAAGGGGGAUGGAGUGGGGUGGGCUGAGAAUCUAGGGUUAAUAUAUGCAAACUAUUGCAUUUGGAAUGGAUGGGCAAUGAGAUCCUGCUGUAUAGCACUGGGAGCAAUAUCUAGUCACUUGUGAUAGAGCGUGAUGGAGGAUAAUGUGAGAAAAAAAAAUGUAUGUGUGUGUGUGUGAGAGAGAGAGAGAGAGACUGGGUCACUUUGCUAUACAGUAGAAAAUUGACAGAACACUGUAAACCAACUAUAAUGGAAAAAAUAAAAAUAAUUAAAAAAAAUAAAUUUUAGCACCCUGAAACUAUGAUGAAGGUGCUAAGGAAUGGGCAUGGGUAGAGCCUUAAAAAAAAUAGUUACUCGAUGCUUCACAGUUCUGUCUGGCCUGGAACUGGAAGAUGAAAAGCCAGUGUAACAUACAGACUCUUCAGAGGAAAGAAUUUGGAGAAAAUCCCUAACAAAGUGUUCAGGAGAAGUGUACUCUGUUCAGAAGAUUGGAAACACUAAACAAAAACACAUGGGGUGUGUCAUGGGGAGCAAUCCUGCCUGAACAAGCAAAGAGUUGACUGCUCUCCUGGAUGUUUUUCAAGUCUAACUUCUAAGGAUUUUUCUCCUGAAGAAAUUGAAAGGAGAAUAAUGGGGGUCAAACUGCAAAACAUACAGCCAGUGAAAGCACAUCUUUUUCAUGGGAUCUGUGAAAGACAGUGAGAAACAGUAACACCUUGGAUCCCUACAACAACUUCCUUUUAAAAAACUUGCUCAUGGCUCUAAUGUUUUCUAUAAAAUUCUCUUGACAUUUGUAUAAUGAAGGCAUGGAGAAAUUCAAAGACUUUCCCUAGGUUUCACAAGCUAGUCCCAGAUCUAGAAUCAGAACUCAUCUUUCCUGGAGCUCCCGUCAUGGCUCAAUGGUAAUGAACCUAACUAGUAUCCAUGAGGACACGGGUUCGAUCCCUGGCCCUGCUAAGUGGAUUAAGGAUCUGGCAUUGCCAUGAGCUG